UACGAAGCGGAUAUGAAAUAAAGCUGUUGAUUCUGAAAAAAGUAUAAAUGGUAUUGAAAAUCUGGUAUAUUACAUAUAUGUGUUGAAUUGUUAAACGUUAUAACCAAAAUUGAGAAGUCUGAAGUAUUUAAAGGGUCAGAGAAUGGGCGGCCGAUUGACCUCCAUCAUAAAAAUAACAUUUUAAAGUUGUACUAUUUCAAAAGUUCCAAAUACUUAAAAAAUGUGAAUGGUAGCCUGCGAUUCAAAGCUAAUAUGAACAUUUGGAAUGGAGUCUCUAGCUGAAAGAUUGUGGCAGGACUGGAGUAGGUCCCAACAUUUAGUAGACGAAAGAAAUAAAGAAAUAAUAAAAGCAGAAUUGAGCGCUGCUAACAUAAAGCAGCGCUCAACUUAAAUAAAGGUAGGACACACAAAUUCAAAAGUAAAAUCUUUAAACAAAAAUAUUUAUUCUACAUAUGAAAAUGUCUUCAUGGGGUGAAGAAAUAUAAAACCAAUGUAAUGGAAAUAUAUAGUAUUUUAUGUCUUAAGUGUGUACCCACAAUGCAUUGUAAUAAUAUAGACAAAACAACCAGUGCUCAUAUUGUAGGACACAGCAGUUCUCCUGGAGCUGCCCUGUCCAUAAGGUAGGCUGGGGUAGGGUAGGAUAGGCUUAGGUAGGCUAGGGUAGGGUAGGGCAAGGUUAGGUAAGCUAGGCUAGGGUAGGCUUGGGUUAGGUAGGCUUGGGUUAGGUAGGCUAGGGUAGAGUAAGGUUAUGUAGGCUUGGGUAGGGUAGGCUAGGGUAAGGUUAGGUAAGCUAGGCUAGGCUAGGGUAAGGUUAGGUAGGCUUGGGUAAGGUAGGCUAGGGUAGGGUAAGGUUAAUCUAGGGUUGGGUAGGUUAGGCUAGGGUCAGUUACGGUAGGGAAGAGCAGAAUAGGCUAUGGUAGGCUAGGGAAGGAUAGGUUGAGGGAGGGUCAGUUAGGGUGAGGUAGGGUCAGUUAGGGUGAGGUAGGGUGAGGGAGCUGGAGGGAGGGUCAGUUAGGGUGAGGGAGGGGGAGGGAGGGUCAGUUAGGGUGAGGUAGGGUGAGGGAGGCUGGCCCAUAAAGCCCAGCCUCCUACUUCUGGUCCAGCUUUGCUCCUCAGUAUUCUGCGUACUGCGACUGAAGCGACUGUAAAGAAGUUGUUAACCAAUUAAAUAUUAUUCCACUGAAUUAUCUCAC